rnacentral:misc_RNA from 1 species
AUGGAGGGAAUUUUGUGGAUCAGUUUGAUAUGUUUGUUUUUUAUUCAAUCACAUAUAUACAACAUGCAAACUAUUCAAUACAAUGUUUUUUGUUUUUCUUAGUGUAGUAUUCACAAUUUUUAUUCGUAAAUCGGGGUACAUGUAGGAGCAAGAACAAUCUGAAGAAAAAUAUACAUAUAUAUACCGGGGUAUAUACCACAUGAUUAAUAGUUCUUUAUUUUUACUACUGCAAUACAUAGCUCUUGUCUCUUUAACUAUAUAUUUCCUUUGGACACUGUCAGAUCAUGUUAAUCUAAAUUAUUUCUGUAUAUGCAUUACAUUCUAUUUUUUUAUUGAAGUGUUAAAAAAUGCAUUGUUAGGAAAAUAAAUUUCCAUAAACUUG